GCUUGGUGCCCUGCUUGGAGUCUCACCUGGCUGCCGACUUGAUGGCAAUACUGUGUCCUCGGGUGGUGGCUUGACUAGGGUAAGGUUUGCAACCUGCUUCCUCAAGUUGUUGGCAGAAUUCAUGGCCUUGCCUUUGUGACAGGGGGAACCUGAUUCCUUACUCACUGUUCGGGCCAGCGGGGGCCACGCUCAGCUCCAGGAGGCUGUCCUCAGGGCCAAGUCACAUGGCCCUUCACACCUGGCCUCUUUCAAGGUCUCACCUGAUGAAGUCAGAGCCGUCCAGAGUAAUCUCUUUUAUUAACUCAGAGUCCACUGGUUAGGGUCCCUAAUUGCAUUUGUGAAAGUCCUUCCCCUUCGUCAUAGAAGUUAACGAACUGGGGAGACGUGUGAAAUUCACAUUCACCGGUAGGCCUCUACAUUCCUGUUCGAUGUAGCCGGUGGAACAGGCCCUCGGUGACUGGGAGCUUCGAGGCAGGGCCUUUGUACGGCCAGUGCUGCCGCUUCCUUCCUCGUGGUGGGCAUCAGCAGCAGCAUCACCCCCUCAAUGGAGAUGCCCUGAAGUCAUUGGGGAUACCUGAGCAUGAGCUAUAUACGAGUGAAGUGGAAAACCAAUGGAGCCAGGGAGGAAAAGCCAAGCCGGUGCCCCUGAACCUGCAGAAUGUGGAGACCCCGAACCGGCGGCCCUCGGCGGCCACGGCCCUCGGCUUGUCCUCCCCACACUGGCAGCCGGGCCGGCAACCGGGCCGCUCUCCCUGGGACCGAAUGCUGAUCAGUGCCCGGGAGUGACAAAAUCGUACUGGAGACUGAGAGAUGACCAGCUUUAACGCUCCCCCCUGCGCACAGAGAGAACACCCCCAAACUCAGUUCUCACGCCUGGGAAAUGUGGUCAACAGUUACAAAAUAGACAUA